rnacentral:rRNA from 1 species
AUUGAACGCUGGCGGCAGGCCUAACACAUGCAAGUCGAACGGUAACAGGAAGAAGCUUGCUUCUUUGCUGUCGCGUGGCGGACGGGUGUGAAAUGUCUGGGAAACUGCCUGAUGGCGGGGGAUAACUACUGGAAACGGUAGCUAAUACCGCAUAACGUCGCAAGACCAAAGAGGGGGACCUUCGGGCCUCUUGCCAUCGGAUGUGCCCAGAUGGGAUUAGCUAGUAGGUGGGGUAACGGCUCACCUAGGCGACGAUCCCUAGCUGGUCUGAGAGGAUGACCAGCCACACUGGAACUGAGACACGGUCCAGACUCCUACGGGAGGCAGCAGUGGGGAAUAUUGCACAAUGGGCGCAAGCCUGAUGCAGCCAUGCCGCGUGUAUGAAGAAGGCCUUCGGGUUGUAAAGUACUUUCAGCGGGGAAGAAGGGAGUAAAGUUAAUACCUUGACUCAUUGACGUUACCCGCAGAAGAAGCACCGGCUAACUCCGUG